GAGCACGCCAGGCACUCCUGUCUUCCACUGCCUCCCGCAGUUUGGUCAAACUCAUGUUGGUAGCUUCGAGAACACUGUCCAACCAUCUCGUCCUCUGUCGUCCCCUUCUCCUUGUGCCCUCCAUCUUUCCCAACGUCAGGGUGUUUUCCAGGGAGUCUUCUCUUCUCAUAAGGUGGCCAAAGUACUGAAGCCUCAGCUUCAGGAUCUGUCCUUCCAGUGAGCCCUCAGGGCUGAUUUCCUUCAGAAUGGAUAGGUUUGAUCUUCUUGCAGUCCAUGGGACUCUCAAGAGUCUCCUACAGCACCAUAAUUCAAAAGCACCAAUUCUUCGGCCAUCAGCCUUCUUUAUGGUCCAGCUCCUACUUCCAUACAUCACUACUGGGAAAACCAUAGCUUUAACUAUACGGACCUUUGUUGGCAAGGUGAUGUCUCUGCUUUGCUUUCUGCUUUGCUUUCUGCAGAGACAUGCUGUGCUAUAGACAGUAGUUAAGAAGCUCCUUGUUACCUUUCCAACUGCAUAUUUGAUGGGACAUGGUUUUAGAGCCAACUUCUCUCCAACCUCUCUCCAGGAAAUCAGCUCCAGAUUACUAAAUUCAAGCCUCCUGCUAAGGGACUUUAAACCACAUGUUGGAAAACUAGAAUCUCAUCAAGCCCAUCCAUAGCAAUAAUUUACUGAGUAAUGUGUUACCAAAUGUCGUAUAGAAGACUCCUGUUACAUGACUAACAGACUUUGAGAAGCUGGUAUAACUGAUUAAGUUCAUCACUUUUGUUGAAUCAAC